rnacentral:rRNA from 1 species
GAAGGGGCAAUCGGGAUUCUUGGUGUACCGGUGAAUUGCGUAGAUAUCAAGAGGAACACCUGAGGUGAAGACGGGUUGUUGGGUGACACUGACGCUGAGGCGCGACAGCCAGGGGAGCAAACGGGAUUAGAUACCCCGGUAGUCCUGGCCCUAAACGAUGAAUACUUGGUGUCUGGAAUUAUAAUUGUUCCGGGUGCCGUCGCUAACGUUUUAAGUAUUCCGCUGGGGAGUACGCACGCAAGUGUGAAACUCAAAGGAAUUGACGGGGAACCGCACAAGCGGUGGAGCAUGUGGUUUAAUUCGACGCAACGCGAAGAACCUUACCUGGACUAGAAUGUGAGGCAAGGGUUUUACCAGAGUGCGUCCGCGAAUCCGGACACAAACCAAGGUGAUGCAUGGCCGUCGUCAGCUCGUGUCGUGAGAUGUUGGGUUAAGUCCCGCAACGAGCGCAACCCUUAUCAACAGUCGCCAUCAUUAAGUUGGGAACUCUGUUGAGACUGCCGUUGAUAAAACGGAGGAAGGUGGGGAUGAUGUCAAGUCAUCAUGGCCUUUAUGUUCAGGGCUACACACGUGCUACAAUGGUCGGUACAAAACGUCGCAAUCCCGCAAGGGGGAGCUAAUCGCAAAAACCGAUCUCAGUUCGGAUUGAAGUCUGCAACUCGACUUCAUGAAGUUGGAAUCGCUAGUAAUCGCAGAUCAGCACGCUGCGGUGAAUACGUUCCCGGGUCUUGUACACACCGCCCGUCACAUCACGAAAGUAGGUUGUACUAGAAG